rnacentral:rRNA from 1 species
AUACGGAGGGUGCAAACGUUGUUCGGAAUCACUGGGCGUAAAGGGCGCGCAGGCGGUUUGAUUAGUCAGAUGUGAAAGCCCACGGCUUAACCGUGGAAGUGCAUUUGAAACUGUCAGACUUGAGUACCAGAGGGGGUAGUGGAAUUCCCGGUGUAGAGGUGAAAUUCGUAGAUAGCGGGAGGAAUACCGGUGGCGAAGGCGACUACCUGGCUGGAUACUGACGCUGAGGCGCGAAAGCGUGGGGAGCAAACAGGAUUAGAUACCCCAGUAGUCC